rnacentral:tRNA from 2 species
GGCGAGUUGGCAGAGUGGUGAUGCAGAGGCCUGCAAAGCCUUGUACAGCGGUUCGAUUCCGCUACUCGCCUCCA